AGCAGCCGCGGUAAUUCCAGCUCCAAUAGCGUAUAUUAAAGUUGCUGCAGUUAAAAAGCUCGUAGUUGAAUUUCGGGACCAAUAUUUCGGUCGUGCCUCGAUAAGUACUGGCAUCGUUGGUUUCUCCCUUCUGACGAACCAUGAUGUCAUUUAUUUGGUGUCGUGGGGAAUCAGGACUGUUACUUUGAAAAAAUUAGAGUGUUUAAAGCAGGCUCACGCUUGAAUACAUUAGCAUGGAAUAAUGAAAUAGGACGUUUGAUUCUAUUUUGUUGGUUUCUAGGAUCGACGUAAUGAUUAAUAGGGAUAGUUGGGGGCAUUAGUAUUCAAUUGUCAGAGGUGAAAUUCUUGGAUUUAUUGAAGACUAACUACUGCGAAAGCAUUUGCCAAGGAUGUUUUCAUUAAUCAAGAACGAAAGUUAGGGGAUCGAAGACGAUCAGAUACCGUCGUAGUCUUAACCAUAAACUAUGCCGACUAGGGAUCGGAUGACUAGUUUUAAUUUUAUAGUCUNUACGUCGCUUAC
rnacentral:rRNA from 1 species